GGGUCAUAUAAGGGAAUAAAAGCAGGCUGCCCGCGCCACAAGUGGCGACCUUCGGGUUCACUUUCACGUUGUGAAGCUUUGUUCUUUCAUCACUGUUUGCAGUAUGUUUUGCUGCUGCUUAUUCUUGGGGUCCAUGCCACCUUAAGAACUGUAACACUCAACCAUAAAGGUAUGGAGCUUCACUGCUGAAAUCAGCGAGACCACGAACCCACCAGAAGGAAGAAACUCUGAACACGUCUGAACAUCAGAAGGAACAAACUCCAGACACACCAUUUUUAAGAACCGUAACACUCACCUCUAGGGUCCACGGCUUCAUUCUUGAAGUCAGUGAGACCAAGAACCCACCAAUUCCGGACACAGCAGGAUAAGAAAGGAAAAUGGGGACUUGUUUUACACAUGAUUUGAAAGAUGGUUGAAUCCAUGGAUGUGGAACCCACGGAUAUGGAGGGCUGACUUUGUUCAACUAUGCUAAUCCUUUGGCCAGGUCACAUCCCUGUACUUCAGCUACUUUAUAAUCUGAAAGCUGUUCCUGCAUGGAAAGGAUACCCCAUGAUUCUCCUACCACCAGAUGCUACUGAGGCUAAACUGAUUAGACUGAGUAAAAAUAUCUAUGGGGAAAACUGUCUUUCAGAAUCCUACUUUGAACUAGAGAAAUCCAUUCUCUUGAGGCUGUCUGCUGUGGAGAAGUUGGCCUUAUCAAUCUGCUUUUGGAGUUCAAGUUAUACAGGUUUGCAUUUUUUCCUUAUUUGACUCUACAUUCUCCACUCUAUUUUUCAGAUGACUACCUGCUUGUCUGCAUGUAUUAUAAUUAUUGUUGUUCUGCUUAUUAUUUCUGCUUACCAGUUUUCUUGGCUCUUGCUAGUUUUUACUACUCACCUCAGUCUGAACCCAUAUAAAUC
rnacentral:lncRNA from 1 species